CAGUAACGGCGAGUGAAGUGGGAAAGGCUCAAAUUUAAGAUCUGUAAGUUUUAAAUAAUUUAUAGAAUUGUAGUUUGUAGAAGUGUUGAAAACCAUUGAAAAAGGUUUUUUAUUUAUUCUGUAACAGAAACCUUACUGAAGUCCAAGUCCUUUGGAACAAGGCAUCAGAGAGGGUGAGAAUCCCGUUUAAGGCUUUUUUUUUUUCUUUCUUCUCUCGGGGAGAAAGGAAGAGUUUACUGUUACAAUUUCAUAAAUGAUGCACUUUCUAAGAGUCGGGUUGUUUGGGAAUGCAGCCCAAAAUGGGUGGUAAAUUUCAUCUAAAGCUAAAUAAUGGCGAGAGACCGAUAGCGAACAAGUACCGUGAGGGAAAGAUGAAAAGAACUUUGAAAAGAGAGUUAAAAAGUACGCGAAAUUGUUGAAAGGGAAGCGCUUGCGACCAGACUUGCGCCCGUCGGAUCAACCGUCGCUUGUCGGCGGCGCACUCCGGCGGGCUCAGGCCAGCAUCAGUUUUCCCGGGGGGAGAAAGGCGGUGGGAAUGUAGCUCCUAGGAGUGUUAUAGCCCGCCGCGUAAUACCCUCGGGGGGACUGAGGACCGCGCAUCUGCA
rnacentral:rRNA from 1 species